GUGCAGCAGUCGAGAAACCUCCGCAAUGCGGGAAACCGCGACGGGGGACCCCGAGUGCCGUGGCAACGCCACGGCUUUUCCGGAGUGUAAAAAGCUCCGGGAAUAAGGGCUGGGCAAGGCCGGUGGCAGCCGCCGCGGUAAUACCGGCGGCCCGAGUGGUGGCCGCUAUUAUUGGGCCUAAAGCGUCCGUAGCCGGGCCCGUAAGUCCCUGGCGAAAUCCCACGGCUCAACCGUGGGGCUUGCUGGGGAUACUGCGGGUCUUGGGACCGGGAGAGGCGGGGGGUACCCCUGGGGUAGGGGUGAAAUCCUAUAAUCCCAGGGGGACCGCCAGUGGCGAAGGCGCCCCGCUGGAACGGGUCCGACGGUGAGGGACGAAGGCCAGGGGAGC
rnacentral:rRNA from 1 species